AAAAAGGGCUUCUGCUGUGAUUAGCACGGGAGGAGUGGCUAAUUACCACUUCUCCCGCGGAAUCGCUAUCAAGAGAUUUCGGAAGCACAAUUUUUUAAACCAGGGGCUGCUAGUGAUCUCAUGUCCUGGCGUCCCG
rnacentral:snRNA from 1 species